AAGUCAGUUGUCUCCCAGCUCCUUUUAUCCUUCUUUCAGAUAUGUGCAGAUGUGUGUUCUAUGAACCUUGUACUAUUUUGAUGACAUGGCAGAAGUGAGCUGGGCACUCUGCCGACCAUCAAAGGCCCAAGCCUGGAGCAGGGUGGGUCCCACAGGAAAAAUGAGGUGCUGGUUGCAGAAGAAGGGAUGGACAUCAGCCAGGUGAGAGCACGCUUGCCCGUCAGGAGGCCUCUGGGAGGAGGAGCUGGUGACACCCGGGUGUGGUAGCGCCCGCAGCUGCCUGCACUGCUGAGGGCCUGGGCCAAGCCCUGGCUUCUCGCUUGCGGUUUAGCCUCCGAUUCACUCUGUCUGUCAGCUUGUCUCUCCUGUCAGCCUUUCACUUCCUAGUCAGUGGGUCACUGUCAGGGGAACAGGAAGCAAAAAGAAAGGGAACCAUUGAACCCGAGCUUUCAGUUUGCCCUCUGUG